rnacentral:rRNA from 1 species
AGCAGCCGCGGUAAUUCCAGCUCCAAUAGCGUAUAUUAAAGUUGUUGCAGUUAAAAAGCUCGUAGUUGAAUUUCGAGACCGGCUUACUGGUCGUGCUAUUGUGCGUACUGGUAUAAUCGGUUUCUCCUUUCUGACGAACUAUAAUGCCAUUAAUUUGGUGUUAUAGGGAAUCAGGACUGUUACUUUGAAAAAAUUAGAGUGUUUAAAGCAGGCUCACGCUUGAACACAUUAGCAUGGAAUAACGGAAUAGGACGUUUGAUUCUAUUUUGUUGGUUUCUAGGAUCGACGUAAUGAUUAAUAGGGAUAGUUGGGGGCAUUAGUAUUCAAUUGUCAGAGGUGAAAUUCUUGGAUUUAUUGAAGACUAACUACUGCGAAAGCAUUUGCCAAGGAUGUUUUCAUUAAUCAAGAACGAAAGUUAGGGGACCGAAGACGAUCAGAUACCGUCGUAGU